rnacentral:rRNA from 1 species
ACGGAAGGCAGCAGUGGGGAAUAUUGCACAAUGGGCGAAAGCCUGAUGCAGCGACGCCGCGUGAACGAAGAAGUAUUUCGGUAUGUAAAGUUCUAUCAGCAGGGAAGAUAAUGACGGUACCUGACUAAGAAGCACCGGCUAAAUACGUGCCAGCAGCCGCGGUAAUACGUAUGGUGCAAGCGUUAUCCGGAUUUACUGGGUGUAAAGGGAGCGCAGGCGGCGCGGCAAGUCUGAUGUGAAAGCCCGGGGCUCAACCCCGGUACUGCAUUGGAAACUGUCGUGCUAGAGUGUCGGAGGGGUAAGCGGAAUUCCUAGUGUAGCGGUGAAAUGCGUAGAUAUUAGGAGGAACACCAGUGGCGAAGGCGGCUUACUGGACGAUAACUGACGCUGAGGCUCGAAAGCGUGGGGAGCAAACAGGAUUAGAUACCCUGGUA